rnacentral:rRNA from 1 species
AGAGUUUGAUCCUGGCUCAGGAUGAACGCUAGCUACAGGCUUAACACAUGCAAGUCGAGGGGCAGCAUGGUCUUAGCUUGCUAAGGCCGAUGGCGACCGGCGCACGGGUGAGUAACGCGUAUCCAACCUGCCUUACACUCUUGGACAGCCUUCUGAAAGGGAGAUUAAUACAAGAUGUUAUCAUGAGUAAGCAUUUUCGCAUGAUUAAAGGUUUACCGGUGUAAGAUGGGGAUGCGUUCCAUUAGAUAGUAGGCGGGGUAACGGCCCACCUAGUCUUCGAUGGAUAGGGGUUCUGAGAGGAAGGUCCCCCACAUUGGAACUGAGACACGGUCCAAACUCCUACGGGAGGGCAGCA